GAUGGCAAUGAUAUGGAAUGUUACAGAGCACAUGAUCUUCCUCCUCUCGCUGGCUGUCAUCUGCAGCUUCUCCCACUGGCAAGAAACCAGGAACCAGAGCAAGAGAUUAGGAGUUUAUUGUAGUUACUAGACAGUAUGAAAAGAGAAUAUUGAAAAGAACAAAAACCAGGCAGGAGACCAGUUUCCUUCUAACAAGGAUUCUAAAAGUCAGAUGGCAUCAUUACUUUGGUCACAGCAUGUCCUGGGCUCCUCUGCUGGACAAUACCUCCUGUGAACUGCUGGCUCCACAGUUACAAAACCAGCUUGCACCACCUCACUGCUUCAAGAGAGAUGACUGAAAAGCAAAACAGAAAAUAUUCUGCAAAUUGCACACUAGCCCAGAGAGGAGACUCAAAUCUGGCACAAAUAUUCAGAAAAUGUUCACCACCCACUUCAGGCAGAGUGAGCACAGAAAAAAGCCAGCAGUCAACUGACAACUACAACUCUUCUUUGGAUUCUCCAGAGUAAUUUCUUUCCUGUCCUAUGUGCAAAGUAUUGCCUGUGCAGACAACAAGGCUUAUGACGACCAAUUCUGCAGCUCAGAAACAACUACACUCUCUGACAAGGGGGUACAAAGCUAAAAUCUGCACUUUUAGAAGGCAAUGCUCCACCACAGUCAUAAGAAAAAGACUGUCCACUGGACAUGCUACGCUCUACACUUUGCAGACAGUACAUCUCUCUGAAAAAAUAAGAAGUCUUUGAAAUCUGCUCUAUUUUCUGUCAGAAGUCACUUCUAGGAUUUGGACAAGUUCUCAUAACAGUUUUUGGACAGCUACAUUCCAAACUUCUCAUCCUACAUGAUUUAGGCUCAUCAUAACUGAAUUUAAUGUUUUUCAUUUAUUCUAGUUCCAGACUGAGGUUAUCAUUAUUAACCUCUUCCACUUUGGUAGAUACGACAAGAUUUGUCUGUGCUAAGAAUACCAGUGACUUUCAUCUCAAAAUCCUGAUGUCAGGACAAUUGAAAGCUCGGAUGUGGGAGAACAAAAUGAGGAUAGAAGCACCUAUACUUUAAGUCACCAGAUUUAUGAAAGAUACUUAUCUAUUAAACAAAAAUACAGGUUCUAGUCAUUUCCAGCCUAAGAAAAGGUAAAAAUUAAACCACAUUUAACAGGGAACCAUCUUCUACUUACAACGUAUUAUUUUCACUAAGUCUGAUCCUUUAAAGAGAAAAGGAAAGCUACAAAUUUUAACUAAAUUACAUCCAAGAAGUGUGAUUUAAAGUAAAUUUAAUGUAAAAUCCUCAUAUUUUGAAGAGAACUUAAAAGCCAUGUGGAUCUUAGAGCCACAAACUAAAGCAGCUAACAGUAAUACAAAGCUCCCCAUUAAAA